rfam:Camelus ferus unplaced genomic scaffold scaffold45, whole genome shotgun sequence.
UGGGGUAUUGCUCAGUGGUAGAGCAUAUGCUUAGCAUGCAGGAGGUACUGGGUUCAAUCCCCAGUGCCUCCA